UUUGAGACCUCAUCUUAGCUUAG
rnacentral:miRNA from 1 species